rnacentral:tRNA from 1 species
AGUAGAUUGCCUGAUUAAAGGGUUAUUUUGAUAGAAUAAAUUAAGUAUAAAAAUACAUUUACUA